UAAAAUAAUAUAUUUAUAAGGGUGCCAUUUUAUUAACAUAUAUAAUUUAACAAGUAUAGGCACGUGUAAAUAUAUACAAAUAUUUGUAUAUAUUUAUACAUACUUGUAUAUAUUUAUACAUACUUAUAUAUAUGUAUACAUACUUAUAUAUAUGUAUACAUACUUGUAUAUAUGUAUACAUACUUGUAUAUAUGUAUACAUACUUGUAUAUAUGUAUAUGUAUAUGUAUGUUAUAUGCACAAAUGUUACUAGUACAUGAACGUACAUUAAAAUUUCAUAAAUGAGUAUAUAAAAGAACUUACCAAUUUAUAAUAACAUAUACACAUAUAUGUACAUAGGUAUGUACGUAUAUGUGUAUAUACCCCAGAAAUGGACUAGUGUUAAAUACAAAAAUGCAUAUAGUACUAGUCUUGCUCAAAUGUUUUAUAAAACAAUAUUGUAGCCCAAAAUAUAUAAAAAGUCUUAAAAAUGUAUUUAUUGAUCAUUUAGGACGUUUUAUUAUUCAAGAGUUAGAAUUACAACAAUUCUCUUUUAACUGUAAAAAUCAGUCAGCACCCAUAAAGAAGUGCAAUGUAACUCGAAAAAAUGUAACUCGAAAAAAUGUAACUCGAAAAAAUGUAAACUCCAGGCGAAGAAAAAUAAAACAUAAAAAUACAUAUUCCCAAAAUAAUACAAAAGAAACCUUUGAUUAUAAAAAAUCUAACAGUUUUAAAAAUGACUCUAAAAAUAAUAUUGAUACAUAUUUAUCUUAUUUAAAUUUUUUAAAAAGUAAAAAAAAUGAAUUAUUAUUGAAUAUUCUUUUUUUUGAUAAAAUCGAAUUAUAUUUAAAUGAUACACAAAGUGGGAAUAGGUUUUAUAAUGGCAUAGCUAUUUAUAUUGAAAAUGUUUUUAUAAAUAUAAAAUUAAAAACUUCUUUUGAGAAAGAGGAAGGUAGUUCUAGCUUGGAAAGGCUUGAGCGUCGUCUGCCAUUAAAACUGUGUAUAGCAAAUAAUGAAAUAUUAUUAAAAAGGAAAUCUGUUAAACUUGCCACGGUUAGUGAUGUUGUCACGAUUGGUGAUGCUAGUACAAUUGUUAAUAAUUGUACCACGAAUAAUACAAUUUUACAAUAUAAUAAACAUAAUAAUAACAAUAAUAAUAAUAAUAAUAAUACUAAUAAUAAUGUUACUAAUACAAAAAAAAAUAAUAAUAAUAAUACUACUACUACUACUAAUAAUAAUAAUAAUAACGAUAAUAAUAUUAACAGUAAUAAUACUAAUAAUAAUAAUAAUAAUACAAAAAAAAAAAAUAAUAAUAAUAAUAAUAAAAAUAAUAAUAAUGUAGGUAUAGAAACAUACGACAUUAUACCGAGUAGCGAAAACAAUGAAAAUCAAACAGGCAUACAAGAACAACGUAAUAACACACUUUUAUUUUUAGUUUUUUUUGCAGUUUUUUAUUUUAAUUUUCUUAAAGAUAAAAUGUUAAAUAUAAUGCUUUUUUUUGCUAGUUAUAUUAGCCAGUUUUUUAAAAGCUCAGGUAUUUUUAAUUUUUUAAAAAAUUUAUUUUUUAAUAUGUUAUUUAAAUAUGCAUUAUGUAUAGACAUAAAAAAUGUUAAUAUUAUUUUUGAAGACACAUUAUAUUAUAGACAUAAAAAAAAUUGUUUUUUUUCAAUUUAUAUGAACAAUGUUCAUAUAGAUAAUAAAAAUUAUAUAAAAAGUAAAAAAAAAAGUAAACGUACGAAAGUAAAAUUGGGAAAUAUUAAUCGGUUUAACAGUUCUGACGACAGUUUAGAUGGUAGUACCGAUAAUAGUGGUAACAGUGACAGUGGUAAUAGUAAUAGUGAUAGUGGCAAUAAAAAACAAAGGAAAAACAAAAAUGAGUUUUUUGAAUUUGUUAAGAUGAAGGUAGGCGGUAUGAGCAUAUAUCAAGAUAAUCGUAAUGAAUUAAUAAGCAAAAGUAAUAUACAUUUAAACAAAAAAAAAUAUAAAUAUUUUUUUUUAUAUAAUAUAAAUAAUUUUCAUACAAAAAAAAACUGUUUACUUGAAAAAGUUCACUUAAAAUGUGUUAUAUUAAAACAUAUCAAAAAAAAAAAUUAUACUAUGAAUUUAAAUAUUUCUUCUGUUCAUUUUAAUUUUUAUCAUAAUAAAAUAUAUACUCUUUUAUUAUUUUCUUACAAAUAUUAUUAUCUAUUUUUUAUGAAUGACUUAAAUACGAAAAGUUGUACACAAAUUAGAAAGGAAGAACAAUGUAAGCAAAUGGAUAAAUAUUAUUUAAAGAAAAAUAAUACUUUACCAAUAAUAAAAAAAAAAAAAUGUAAAAAUAAAAAUGUAUGUUUUAUAUCAACCAGUACUACUUACCCCAUGAGAGAUGAUGAAAAGGUUCAAAACAGCGAGACCAUGCAGUUAAAAUUAGGGGAAAAAGUAGAUAAAUGUUCAAAUAAAUGUUCAAAUAAUUGUGUAGAUAACUAUGCAGAUAACUAUGCAGAUAACUAUGCAGAUAACUAUGCAGAUAGCUAUGCAAAUAACUAUGUAAAUAAUAUAACUAAAAAAAGUAAUAAAUAUACUACAACAGUUACCCCAAUUAUUUUAAACAAAAUACGAAAUAAGCAUGUAUAUUGCCGCACAAGUAGUAGUUUUAAAAUAAACGUACAUAUUGACUCAUUCGAAACUUGUUUUGUUUAUAACAACAAUGACUACACUGUUAUUUGUUUAAAAAAGUUAUACAUGUUCGCACAUAUACAAAAGAAUAAACUCGAGCAUAUAAAGGAGAAUCACUUCAGUCACCCUUUAUUUUUGUACACUUUUAAAGAGAAUGGAAAAAAAGAGAAUGGGGGAGAUAUAAAAUGGGACGAUCGAAAUAGGGUUGAAAAAAUAGCUGAUAAAGAAAUUGGAUCGAAAAAUGGAUCAAAAAAUGGAUCAAAAAAUGGAUCAAAA
ensembl:lncRNA